rnacentral:lncRNA from 1 species
GAGGUCGAUGCUACCACAAAAGCUUCAGACUUGCAGGGAAGAAGUGCGGAAUUGGAGCUGCAGCUAGGCUACCGCGACCUGCGGUGGGCACAUCACUGGCCACACGCCCGUGCCUCCCCGCCGAACUUGCCCCUAACCGCCUCACCGCUCUCCUCGUGGAGCUCCACCGCACGGACGGAUCUUGUUGAUGCCGAUGACCUUUGCCCUCGCCGAGCAUGGAUCUUCGUUGCCGCUCGUGGAUCUCACCGCCCAUUGACCGACCAUGCGGUUGGGCUCCGUCGACCACCGCACGUAAGGGUUCCUGGCUUCCUGCUGCCAAGCCGGAGAUCCGUCUCCUCCCUGGUUACCAAACAAGCCCGUGCAUCAAUCUCGCCACGGAGGCCCUAGGAAGCUCCGGUUGGCAUGUCGCUCGUCAGUCGCAUGCAAGCACCACGGCGUGCGGCAGCAGCAGCCCUUACAUGUGUAGAACUAGAUUUCGGUGAUAAUACUAGGAAUUCUAAGGUUGUUUUUGGAACGGAACACAAGAA